rnacentral:rRNA from 1 species
UACGUAGGGCGCAAGCGUUGUCCGGAAUUAUUGGGCGUAAAGAGCUCGUAGGCGGUUUGUCGCGUCUGCUGUGAAAUCCCGAGGCUCAACCUCGGGCUUGCAGUGGGUACGGGCAGACUAGAGUGCGGUAGGGGAGACUGGAAUUCCUGGUGUAGCGGUGGAAUGCGUAGAGAUCCGGAAGAACACCGGUGGCGAAGGCGGCCUGCUGGGACAUUGCUGACGCUGAGGCGCGACAGCGUGGGGAGCAAACAGG